UACGAAGGGUGCAAACGUUGCUCGGAAUUAUUGGGCGUAAAGCGCACGUAGGCGGCUUGGCAAGUCGGAUGUGAAAGCCCUCGGCUUAACUGAGGAAGUGCACCCGAAACUGAGUAGCUAGAGUACUAAAGAGGGUCGCGGAAUUCCCGGUGUAGAGGUGAAAUUCGUAGAUAUCGGGAGGAACACCGGUGGCGAAGGCGGCGACCUGGGUAGAUACUGACGUUGAGGCGCGAAAGCGUGGGGAGCAAACAGG
rnacentral:rRNA from 1 species